UACAACAUAUCAUUAAUGCAACAAAUCCCAUUAGAACUCAAUAGUUAAGCACGCUCAAGCUAGAGUAGUAUUGGGAUCGGUGACCUCCCAGGAAGUCCUAGUGUUUUAC
rnacentral:rRNA from 1 species